AUGGCUCUUUUCUAUUUUGGGUUUUUUCUCGUAUCCGUUUUAUUAAAAGCUGCACCCAACUGCAGUGCUGGAUCUGCAGCCUACGAGACAGUGAUAGGCUUUAAAGACAAAGACGUGGUCCUGUCUUGUUCAGAUUUCAACUCCACAAGCUGUAAUCGGCUCAGGUGGGUGAAGGCGGCCACAGAGACCAGUGCUGAAAAGGUUAUUUUUCUGUGGCCCCAAACAUCCCAAACAUCCCAAGAUGUCAAACGUGCUACUUUGGAAACGAUCGAAAGAGGAGAAAUUCGUCUAAAAUCCUUGGAAAAAUCAGACGAAGGACUGUACAGCUGUGAAAUCUCUGCUGGAUGGGACCGUGUUCGGGUCAAAAACACAUCUUUAAUAGUGAGAGAGUGCGAACCCCUUAAACCAAAGAAUGCAAUUAAUGGUGGCUCUGUUAAACUCGACUGCCAAGUGAACGCAACACAUUCAAACAUCUCCUGGGCGAAGAUGAAAGGAACUCAGUCGGUAUCUCUGAAAGCAAAUGGAUCCUUGUUGACCAUCCAGUCCGUGUCUGCUGCAGAUUAUGGUUGGUACCGAUGUUCUUACUCGGUCGGACAAAGUCAGCGCUGCUUUAUGAUCAACCUGCAAGUCCAAGAAGCAGUCUUUGUGCCAACAGUGGUUCCAGAUCCUGAAGCUAAAACAACCCAGUCAGCUGCCACAGCUCGUGAGAUGGUGCAGACGGGAGAGAAGCUGGAGGGGGGUGGGACCUUGGUUCCAGUGCUCUCGGUGGUUUGUGUGGUUGUUGUGCUCGCUGCUCUGACAGGACUCUUCCUUCACCACAAGCAGAGGGUUAGACAGCCCCUCAGGCACAUCGCAGGUCGUCCCAAAGACUUCGAGGAGUUUUAUGAGAAUGUGACUCUUCCAAAUGCAGCGAAUACGACAGACAGAGUCAACAGUUUGUACCAGUUUCAGGAAGAGAGCUUGAGCACUUUUCAAACUUAA
rnacentral:lncRNA from 1 species